GACGAACGCUGGCGGCGUGCUUAACACAUGCAAGUCGAACGGAAGGGCCCUGCUUUUGUGGGGUGCUCGAGUGGCGAACGGGUGAGUAACACGUGAGUAACCUGCCCUUGACUUUGGGAUAACUUCAGGAAACUGGGGCUAAUACCGGAUAGGAGCUCCUGCUGCAUGGUGGGGGUUGGAAAGUUUCGGCGGUUGGGGAUGGACUCGCGGCUUAUCAGCUUGUUGGUGGGGUAGUGGCUUACCAAGGCUUUGACGGGUAGCCGGCCUGAGAGGGUGACCGGCCACAUUGGGACUGAGAUACGGGCCAGACUCCUACGGGAGGCAGCAGUGGGGAAUAUUGCACAAUGGGCGGAAGCCUGAUGCAGCAACGCCGCGUGCGGGAUGACGGCCUUCGGGUUGUAAACCGCUUUCGCCUGUGACGAAGCGUGAGUGACGGUAAUGGGUAAAGAAGCACCGGCUAACUACGUG
rnacentral:rRNA from 1 species